GGGCCGGUAGCUCAGCGGUAGAGCAGGAGACUUUUAAUCUCUUGGUCCUGGGUUC
rnacentral:tRNA from 1 species